UCAGCAUAACAAUAAUGUCGGCCUCUUU
rnacentral:piRNA from 1 species